GGCCCGAGAGGCAUAGUAUUGGGGUUGUUCCAUCAUACGAGGAAGAGGCGGUGGGUACUGUGGGUUGGCUGUGGAACAAUAGUGAAACCGUGCACGGGAAUCCAGGAAGGCGGUACGUAGACUACUGCAAUGCUCUUGACUGCCUCAGUGCUGCACACGUUGAAUGGCAACCAUACAAUCGCCAAGAGGUGCAAAACAUGGAGCUUAGUCCGCAAUGCACCAUGGAUACUAAAUAUUGGCGCUCCGUCUGUCCUCUUAUUUGCUACUAUAUUGUGGAGUUUCACCUUCCAAAUCGCGUGAU